AGGACGAACGCUGGCGGCGUGCUUAACACAUGCAAGUCGAACGGUAAGGCCCCUUCGGGGGUACACGAGUGGCGAACGGGUGAGUAACACGUGAGCAACCUGCCCUUGACAUUGGAAUAACAGUUGGAAACAGCUGCUAAUACCGGGUAUGACCUUUCAUCGCAUGGUGGGGGUGGAAAGCCUUGGCGGUCAAGGAUGGGCUCGCGGCCUAUCAGCUAGUUGGUGAGGUAAUGGCUCACCAAGGCUUCGACGGGUA
rnacentral:rRNA from 1 species